rnacentral:rRNA from 1 species
UACGAAGGGGGCUAGCGUUGCUCGGAAUCACUGGGCGUAAAGCGCACGUAGGCGGAUUGUUAAGUCAGGGGUGAAAUCCUGGAGCUCAACUCCAGAACUGCCUUUGAUACUGGCGAUCUCGAGUCCGGGAGAGGUGAGUGGAACUGCGAGUGUAGAGGUGAAAUUCGUAGAUAUUCGCAAGAACACCAGUGGCGAAGGCGGCAUCCUGGACCGGCAUUGACGCUGAGGCGCGAAAGCCAGGGGAGCAAAGCGGG